UCAAGCACCGCUUGGUAUUGGGCAUCGUCCGCCUCUGAUGGCGGGCGUGCCUCGAAGACCUCGGCGGGGUUUCUCCAACUUCGGGCGUAGUAGAGUUAAAUCAAAACGUCUUAUAAGCUUGGUGAGAUCUCAUUGCCGUUAAACCUUUUAUUAUUUUUCAGGUUGACCUCGGAUCAGGUAGGGAUACCCGCUGAACUUAA
rnacentral:misc_RNA from 1 species